UGAGGAAUAUUGGUCAAUGGGCGGGAGCCUGAACCAGCCAAGCCGCGUGAGGGAAGAAGGCCCUAUGGGUCGUAAACCUCUUUUGUCAGGGAACAAAAGCGAGUAUGUAUACUAGUCUGAGUGUACCUGAAGAAAAAGCAUCGGCUAACUCCGUGCCAGCAGCCGCGGUAAUACGGAGGAUGCGAGCGUUAUCCGGAUUUAUUGGGUUUAAAGGGUGCGUAGGCGGCGAUGCAAGUCAGCGGUAAAAGCCCGGGGCUCAACCCCGGCGAGCCGUUGAAACUGCAGUGCUAGAGAAGGCGAGAGGUACGCGGAAUGCGCAGUGUAGCGGUGAAAUGCUUAGAUAUUGCGCAGAACUCCGAUUGCGAAGGCAGCGUACUGGCGCCUGACUGACGCUGAGGCACGAAAGCAUGGGUAGCAAACAGGAUUAGAUACC
rnacentral:rRNA from 1 species